GAAAACAGUUGUGGCAGUGGUUGAGGGGGUUAUUAGAAGACAUAAUUGCUUCAACUAUUGUUUUAAACAUUACUUUUUUUCUUCUUCCUGCGCAUUUUGUCCUCAUUACAGCUAUCUAUUACAGAUUCCAUACCCUGCAACACAAGACUUCAAACUGAUAAAAUUGAUUCUAACUACUACAUUUUUCUACUGAAGUGGAGUUCAGGAAGCCUUUUUGAACAGAAAUCAUUUCCAUCUGCGAGAAGCUUCACCUACUGACAUCGUGGCUCUGAUAUUGAAGGAAUGAGACCUCAGGAGGAAUGACAAGACACACUUCUCUUGUGAUGAAGCAGGACUCGUCAUUCACUUUGUGAAUACUAGGACCUUGAGUUUCUGGCUCCUUGGAGCCUGGUGUAUGGCCUCACCUACUAUUCUAUAUAUUCCCACUGAUUCCUAUAUUCAAUAUAUUAAACCAGCUGGAAUCUAUCCAGCUGGUUUAAACACCCACAACUGUCUCUGAGGGAAGGCCUGAUUUUGUAUCCACACUUCCCCCCUCACAACACCAUUGCUACCAUGGUUUCUCAAUAUUUCUUUUCUCUUUGACUUUGUAUAAAAUUUCUAUAGUGACAGUAACAAAAAACAGGAACAUUUUCUAAAAAUACACUAGGUAUUUCUUUAUGUAAUGGACUUCUGGACAGCAUUUAGAUCCUUGCAGUGGCUGAGAACAUACAUCUCCAGGGCCUCUGUAACUUUCUGCAAGGAUCUGUACAUAGUGAUAAAUAGCAUUAUGUAAAUUAGACUUGCUGUGCUUGACUCCUGUAAAAUAUGCCAUUCCUAUAAAAAGCACUUUUGAAAGGAGACAGAAAACAAAGCUCAAGGGAUGAUAUUGUACUUCCUUGGUGUUUUUCAGACUAUGAUAUAUAUGUAUAUGUAUUCUUAAUGCAGAAGUUUUAUGCUAAGCUCCCUUUGUUGGCUCACUCAGAGUCUGCCUUCUGCGAGAUGUGUGGGCAGGCAGGUGGCUGCCAGCCUGUACUGUGCAUGGGGUGGCCCCUGUUGGCUCUAGGGAUGUAGCUGUGUUUCUGCAUAGCGACUGGUCAAAGGGUUGCUGCAGUUUGCGGCAAUAGAUGCUCCCCCUAAAUGUCUUCCUCAGGAUCAGAUUGAAAACAUUUGGAGAUCAGAAUUUUUUUUGUUGUUGCUGUUGUUGUUGUUGCUGUUGUUUUUCCCCCAUGCUAUAAUGACAAGUCCGUUCAUUCCUUGUCAGAUACAUCUUUUUAAUUCAGAUGCAUUACACAGUCUUUUCAAAUCUCUGCUGAGGUAAUCUUUUUUUGUAUUUUUUUUUUUCCUGUCCCUCAACAAAAGAGUUCAGAGCUCUUCUAAUUGCAAAUGACCUUGAAAGGUUCUCCCUAGACAAUGAAGGGACAAAUUAAAAUGCAGCCUUCAUGACAUUUUCUGCUGACUUCUCUUGUGCUCAGAAUUCAAAUAUUUUCAUUUAUUUAUGUAAUUUAUAUAUAUAUGUUUGUUAUAGUGAAGAAUAAUAAUAGUAUCUCAUUGUUUUGUUUGUUUGUUUGAAAGUUAACAGUGAAUGAAAACUCCUACUUUAAGGAAAUCACUGAUAAAGAAUGAGGAACUGCCAUUAAAAUUUAUUUAAACAAAAUGUAAAAAUGUUUUGCUUUUUUUCU